rnacentral:rRNA from 1 species
UACGAAGGGGGCUAGCGUUGUUCGGAAUUACUGGGCGUAAAGCGCACGUAGGCGGACCUGCCAGUCAGAGGUGAAAUCCCGAAGCUUAACUUCGGAACUGCCUUUGAUACUGCAGGUCUUGAGGUCGAGAGAGGUGAGUGGAACUGCGAGUGUAGAGGUGAAAUUCGUAGAUAUUCGCAAGAACACCAGUGGCGAAGGCGGCUCACUGGCUCGAUUCUGACGCUGAGGUGCGAAAGCGUGGGGAGCAAACAGG